AUGUCGACAAAGGCGUUUGAUAAGAGAUCCAAGCAGGCUACAUGUGAGGUGAAUCAAGGUAAUCUAUAUGAUGUAGUCCAGGAGCCGCCCUUCGUCGUGGUCCGCAAGUCGCUGAGCCGCUGCCCCGGAGCCGCCCUUCGACGCGGCCCGCAGGUUCCCCAGCCGCCGCCCCGGAGCCACCCUUCGCCGCAGGUCGCCGCCGCCGGAGCCGUCCUUCGCCACAUGUCUCCUCCCUGCUGGCCGUCCUGCCCUCCACAGCUCUUAUCUUCAAGCUCAAGGCACGCACGCGAUCCCCUCAGCUUCUGUCCUUUCUUCAACCCACCGAUUCGUUUUCUACAUUAUGAAUUGUUACCGUCUGAACAUCUACGCGAUCCAAUUACAAUAGAAGCAUAA
rnacentral:rRNA from 1 species